CUCUGAUUAUUCAUUUUAACAUUAAUUUAUAUGUAAAUUUUUGUGCUUUGUUUAAUUCUAAAAGGAAUAUGAAUAUGGUUUGCAGUAGAUAGUCUUAUUGAUAUUAAAUCAGUUUGGAUUUAGUGAAUGUUAAGAGGAUUGGAGGAAGCUGUGCCAGCAUCCGCGGUUACACAGCGAAUUCAAAUGAAUAUUAUUGGUUUUGGAGUAAUUACUAUUAAUUGAGAUAUAGAAAACAGGAUAUUUUUGGGUGAAAUAUGAAAUGUCUUUAAAUUAUAUUUAUUAGUAGGAUUGUUAUGAGAGUGAAAUUGUAAACUAGGAUUAGAUACCCUAUUAUUUUUAUUGUGAAUAUUGAAGCCCGAGUAUUAGUAGAUAUGAUCUUGAAACUUAAAGAAUUUGGCGGUAUUAUAGUCUAUUUAGAGGAAUCUGUUAUGUAAUCGAUAGUCCGCGUUGAAUCUUACUUAUAUUAUUUCUUGUAUACCGCUGUUUAUGAAUAUCCUUUAAGGGUAAAUUUUCUUGAUAUUAUAUUUGAUAGAAUUUCAAGUCAAGGUGCAGUAAUAUAUAAGUUGAAUAAUGGAUUACAAUAAAUUGUAUUUAUUAACGGAUAAUUAUUUUGAUAUAAUUUGAAGGUGGAUUUAAUUGUAAUUUUAUGAAGAUUGUUAGGAUGAUUGUAGCUCUAUAAUAUGUACACAUCGCCCGUCACUCUCGUUAUUAAGAUGAGAUAAGUCGUAACAAAAGAUAAGUCGUAACAAAGUAGGUGUAUCGGAAGAUGUACCUAGAAAGAAAAAAGAAAGUUAGGUAUAACUGGAUAUAAUA
rnacentral:ncRNA from 1 species